CACGCGAAGAACCAAUGAACUGGCAGCAUCAGAGAAUAAGCACGGCAACAAUGAGGAAGAGAACAGGAUACGUCACCAGAGAUGGCCAUCGCGAAGCCGCAACCGCCGCCGCACACGUCUCUCCACCCAUCACCGGCGGCAGUCGCCGCCGUCGGGGGCAACCUUACGGGGACCGGCCCGAGCAGCGGCGAGCGCUGCGGGGACACGCCGGGCAAGUACCCCCACAUCAGCACCACCCGCUCCUUAUUCCCCGCGCCCUCCCCCUGCGCGCAGCUGGGGCCGCUGUCCUCCUCCAUCUCAUCCUCCCCUCCCCCUCCUCCGCCGGUGCCGCGGCCGUUCAUCUCCUCCGGGAGCCUGGGCCUCCGAAUCCACCGCUGAUUUCGAUCGCUGGCCGACGGGAGCGGACAGCGGAGCAAGCGAGCAAAGCGUUGGUGUUG
rnacentral:misc_RNA from 1 species